rnacentral:rRNA from 1 species
AUUCAAUAGCCCCCUUCCCCAUCCAAGUAGGCAGCAGGCGCGUAAAUUACCCAAUCCUGACACAGGGAGGUAGUGACAAUAAAUAACAAUGCCGGGCUUUCCAAGUCUGGCAAUUGGAAUGAGAGCAAUUUAAAUCCAUCAUCGAGGAUCAAUUGGAGGGCAAGUCUGGUGCCAGCAGCCGCGGUAAUUCCAGCUCCAAUAGCGUAUAUUAAAGUUGCUGCAGUUAAAAAGCUCGUAGUUGAAUUUGUGGCGCGGCCAUCCGGCGGGGGCUCUUCAUUGAGCCCGUUUGUCCUGGUUUUUGGCCGUUCCUUUCUCGGGUAGCGUGUGGCUGGCAUUAGGUUGUUGGCUGCUUCGCGCCCGUCUUUUACUGUGAAAAAAUUAGAGUGUUCAAAGCAGGCUUAGGCCGUUGGAUACAUUAGCAUGGAAUAAUAAGAUAGGGCCACGACGGUCUAUUUUGUUGGUUUGCACGUUGUGGUAAUGGUUACAGGAAUAGUUGGGGGUAUUCGUUUUCAAUAGGAAAGAGCGAUAAACUUGGAAUUGUUGAAGACGAACUACUCCGAAAGUUUUACCAAGGAUAGUUACAUAAAUCAAGAACUCCACUCCUGGGGGUGCCCAUGAUUCAUACCAUCAAAGUUCAGACCAUAAGACCAUACUGCCCCCGGGAUCGCAGACUUUGACUUCUCCGAAGGUGCUGACGCAGUCCCUAAAAAUAAAACGACCUG